UUUUUUUUUUUCUGAGAUGGACAGGGUCUCACUCUGUCACCCAGGUUAGAGUGCAGUGGCACAAUCAUAGCUCACUGCAGCCUUGAACUCCUAGGCUCAAGUGAUCCUCGUGCCUCAGCUACCCAAGCAGCUGGGACUACAGGUACAUGUCACCAUGCCUGACUAAUUUUUUUUUUUUAGAGAGAUGGGUGUCUCCCUAUGUUGCCUAGGAUGGUCUUGAAAUCCUGGCUUUAAGCCAUCCUCCCGCCUUGACCUCCCAAAGUGAUCACAAAAGAUUGAAUGCAAAGCAAAUAUGAAAAUCCAGCCACUGUCUUUAAGCCAGCUUUGAAAGAGAUAUUGACAUAUGUAAAACAAUGUCACUCUUCUCACCAAAUUAUUUUUAUUUUGUGGAAAAAUCAUUUUUUAUAACAUGUCAUUUGUGUUAAGAAAGAGGGUUAUUAAUGUUAUUUUUAAACAAACAAAUAUUUUUAAUUGCUCAGUAAUGAGUAAGGUAAAUAUGAAUGAAUAUAGUCCACAAAAAUGGAGGUUCUUCGGGUCCUCCAUAAUUUCUAAGUGUGCAAACAUGUUAAGACCACAAAUUUGAGAACUGAUACUCUAGUACUAAUGUUAAAGCUCACUCAAAUUUUGUACUUUGUCUCUAGAUAUAAAAUACCCUUUAACACUCAAAACUUUCUGUAACACACAGUUGAAAGAAUUACUAGCAUUUAUUGAGUGUUUGCUGCAUUCUAGGCAUGUCCUAAGUGUUCCACAUAUUUUAACUAAUUUAAUCCUCUCAAACAAGCCAUAAAUUGGGUAAUUUUAUUAUAUCCAUUUUGUAAGGGAGCAACCAAGGAACAGAGACAUGAAAACUUGUCGCAGGUCACACAACUAGUAAGUAAUGGAACCAAGAUUUGAACCCAAGCAGUUUUGCUCUUUAGAAAACAUUUCUAUCCAUCAGCAGUAAUUUAAUACGUAUGAAGAAAUAAAUGAAGAUUUAGUUCUAAUGCUAUGUAAACCUCCCUUGCAGGGGAUUAUAGUAGCUCCACCUGUCUGGUGGAUCCAGGUCAGGCAGAGUGGUGGCCUGAAAUAUAGUGCGGUAAGAAGCACCAAGGGCAGGCAUGAACGCUGGCUAGGAAGCAGUGAACAUCGAGCCAUGGAAACUCAACUCUGCUAUGUCCCACAGACACUAGCAAUCACUAACCAGGUCUGGCUCUAUGGAUUUGGCUAUUCUGGACAUUUCAUAUACGUGGGAUCAUACGAUAUGUUGCCUUUUGUGUCUGGCUUCUUUCACAUAUCAUAAUGUCUUCAAGAUUUAUCCAUGUUGUAAUAUGUAUCAGUAUUUCACUUUUUAUUGCUGGAUGAUAUUCUGUUAUAGAGCUAGUAUCACAUUUUAUUUAUGCAUUCAUCAGUUGAAAGACAGUUGGGGUGUUUCUACUUUGUAGCUAUUAUGAGCAACGCUGUUAUGAACAUUCAUGUGAAGUUUUUGUGUGGACAUAUCUUUUCAGUUCUCUUGAGUAUAUACCUAGGAGUGGGAAUGAUGGGUCUAUGGUAACUCCUUGCUUAACUUCUUGGAGAAAGUGUCUGAUGUUUUCCAUGGUGGCCACGCCAUUUUACAUUUCUACCAGCAUUGAAUCAGGAUUCCAAUUUCUCCAUGUCCUUACCAACACUUGUUACUUUCUGCUUAAAAAAAAACAAUUUAUACACAUCCUACUGGUCAUAAAGUGGUAUCUUAUUGUGGUUUUAAUUUGUAUUUUCCUAAUGACUAAUAAUGUGCACAUCUUAUUUUAUGUUUAUUGACCAUUUAUAUAACUUCUUUGGAGAAAUGUCUAUAUAAGUCC
rnacentral:lncRNA from 13 species